GUUCAACGGCCGCGGUAUCCUAACCGUGCGAAGGUAGCGUAAUCACUUGUUCUUUAAAUGAGGACUAGUAUGAAUGGCACCACGAGGGUUACACUGUCUCCUUUUUUUAAUCAGUGAAACUAAUCUUCCCGUGAAGAAGCGGGAAUUUUUUUAUAAGACGAGAAGACCCUAUGGAGCUUUAAACAAAUUAACACUUGCUGCCUAAAACAACCCUUCCAGAAACACAACACACAGCAUAGCAUUAUGAUUAAUAGUUUUAGAUUGGGGUGAUCACGGAGUAAAAAAUAACCUCCAUGCCGAAAGGAGCCUUCCUGAGCAAAAAGCCACAACUUUAAGCACUAAAAAAUUAACGUUUAUUGACCCAAUAUUUUGAUCAACGAACCAAGUUACCCUAGGGAUAACAGCGCAAUCCACUUCAAGAGCUCCUAUCGACAAGUGGGUUUACGACCUCGAUGUUGGAUCAGGGUGUCCCAGUGGUGCAGCCGCUACUAACGGCUCGUUUGUUCAACGAUUAAAACCC
rnacentral:rRNA from 1 species